rnacentral:lncRNA from 1 species
GGGCUGCUGGGUGCCAUUUUCAGGGUGAUCCUGCUGCUGUUUUGCUGCUUUUGGUUAUGGGGGUGCUGGGGGGACCCCCAGCUUUGGGGGGGGUGAACACAUCUCAUUACUGGUUCCCAGUCGCUGUUUACAAAACCCUUUGCUUCCUGCAUUGCCUUUUUAAUUUGGGGGCCCUGCCACCCCCUCCUGAGCUGGGGGGUAGGGACCCAUGGUACUGUUUGGCCCUGGCUGGGCUGGAGUGAACGCAUUCCUUCCCAUCAGCCCCAGGGGACAUGCCCAUUACCCAACCAGACUCCCAUCAGCCCCUGGGACAGUGUCCCCCUCAGAGCCAGGCUCCCAUCAGCCCCUGGGGCAGUGUCCCACUGCCCAACGAGACUCCCAUCAGCCCCUGGGGCAACAUCCACCUCAGAGCCAGGCUCCCAUCAGCCCCUGGGGCAGUGUCCCACUGCCCAUCCAGACUCCCAUCAGCCCCUGGGACAGCAGCCCCUUCAGAGCCAGACUCCCAUCAGCCCCUGGGGCAGCAUCCACCGCCCAAUCAGACUCCCCUCAGAGCCAGACUCCCAUCAGCCCCUGGGACAGUGUCCCCCUCAGAGCCAGACUCCCAUCAGCCCCUGGGACAGCAGCCCCCUCAGAGCCAGACUCCCAUCAGCCCCUGGGGCAGCAUCCACCGCCCAACCAGACUCCCAUCAGCCCCUGGGGCAGUGUCCACUGCCCAACCAGACUCCCCUCAGUGGGGCAGCAUCCCCCUCAGAGCCAGACUCUCCUCAGCCCCACCAGGCUCCCAUCAGCCCCUGGGGCUGCCCCCUCCCACCACUCGAGCUGAGCUUUGCCAGCCCGGUCCCAGCCUGCCAAGGGAAGGAAGAUGCCUGGCCCAGCCCUGCCCCACACUCUGGAAGGUCCCAGCCCCCCAUGCCUCGGUGAAGGUACAUUCCCUUUCCCCUGCUCUUGGAGAGGGAAGGCCAACUCAGGCUGCCCCCCUCCAGCCAGCCACAGGGACUCACUGGACCAGGGGCCCCCACUGCACUUUAUUUACAUUUUUUGUUAUUUAUUUGUCUCUGAACUGGCCGCGAUUUGUAUCUGAAUAAACCUCAUGGGAU